AUGGGUCGAGCCCCACGGAAGGCAGUGUGCCAGCCAGGGUCUUUCUGGAUGAAUUCAGUGGCUCUAAGUGGGCAGAAAGAGCUCCAAGACACAGUCAACAAAAGACGCAAAUUAAGUGCCUGCAGAAUUCCUUCUCCCAUCUCCAGAUGGACCAGGUGGCCUGCCCCCCGGGAGCUCCGUGAUCCAGGCCCACUGCCGGGACCUGGCGUCUCUGCCUGUGCAACAAGUCGUGCUGGCCAACCAGAGGGACCCCAAGGAGCAGGACACGGAGGAACCAAAGAAAAGGAGAGGGGGCUGGCCCAAAGGCAAGAAAAGGAAGCCCCUGAGGGACCUUUCUGUUCCCCGCGCUCCUACGACAGGGUACGCGAUCUUCCUAAACGAGCAGAGAAGUCAGCUGAGGGCCGAGCACCCAGAUCUGCCUUUUACAGAAAUCACGAAGAUGCUGGCUGUGCAGUGGGAUCAGCUGUCUCACGAGAAAAAGCGGCUGCCGUGCCGGAGGUCCUCCAAAGCCGAGUUCAAAGCCUGCCUUACACCGUUAUCAGCUGUCCCCUCAGUGGGCCUCAAGUCCCUGCAGGUAUGGGACAGAGGCCGUGCGCCACACGCCAGGUGGAAAGAGGGUCCAGAACCUGA
rnacentral:lncRNA from 1 species